GAUGAACGCCGGCGGCGUGCCUAAUACAUGCAAGUCGAGCGAACAGACGAGGAGCUUGCUCCUCUGACGUUAGCGGCGGACGGGUGAGUAACACGUGGAUAACCUACCUAUAAGACUGGGAUAACUUCGGGAAACCGGAGCUAAUACCGGAUAAUAUAUUGAACCGCAUGGUUCAAUAGUGAAAGACGGUUUUGCUGUCACUUAUAGAUGGAUCCGCGCCGCAUUAGCUAGUUGGUAAGGUAACGGCUUACCAAGGCAACGAUGCGUAGCCGACCUGAGAGGGUGGUGGGCCACACUUGAACUAAGACACGGUACAGACUCCGACGGGAGGCAGCAGUAGGGAAUCUUCCGAAAUGGGCGAAAGCCUGACGGAGCAACGCCGCGUGAGUGAUGAAGGUCUUCGGAUCGUAAAACUCUGUUAUUAGGGAAGAACAAAUGUGUAAGUAACUAUGCACGUCUUGACGGUACCUAAACAGAAAGCCACGGCUAACUACGUG
rnacentral:rRNA from 1 species